GUCCUAGUAGCUUAUAACUAAAGCAUGGUACUGAAGAUGCCAAGAUGGCCACUAUACACGCCCAUGGACA
rnacentral:tRNA from 1 species